GAUGAACGCUGGCGGCGUGCUUAACACAUGCAAGUCGAACGGUGAAGGCGGAGCUUGCUCUGCUGGAUCAGUGGCGAACGGGUGAGUAACACGUGAGCAAUCUGCCCCUGACUCUGGGAUAAGCGCUGGAAACGGCGUCUAAUACUGGAUACGAGCUGCGAAGGCAUCUUCAGCAGCUGGAAAGAAUUUCGGUCAGGGAUGAGCUCGCGGCCUAUCAGCUUGUUGGUGAGGUAAUGGCUCACCAAGGCGUCGACGGGUAGCCGGCCUGAGAGGGUGACCGGCCACACUGGGACUGAGACACGGCCCAGACUCCUACGGGAGGCAGUAGUGGGGAAUAUUGCACAAUGGGCGAAAGCCUGAUGCAGCAACGCCGCGUGAGGGACGACGGCCUUCGGGUUGUAAACCUCUUUUAGCAGGGAAGAAGCGAAAGUGACGGUACCUGCAGAAAAAGCGCCGGCUAACUACGUG
rnacentral:rRNA from 1 species